AAGGAUCAUUAUCGUAAAAUGGGGGUACCAGGGCUGUCGCUGACUUUUGUCGUGCACGCCCGAGUGCUCUCACAUACAAAUAUCCAUCUCACCCCUUUGUGCAUCACCGCGUGCGUCCCCCCUUCCUCGGAGGGGGGUGCUCACGUUUUUAACAUCAAACACCUAGUAUAGAAUGUUCUUUGCGCGAUCAUGCGCGAUCAAUACAACUUUCAACAACGGAUCUCUUGGCUCUCGCAUCGAUGAAGAACGCAGCGAAAUGCGAUACGUAAUGUGAAUUGCAGAAUUCAGUGAAUCAUCGAAUCUUUGAACGCACCUUGCGCCCCUUGGCAUUCCGAGGGGCACACCCGUUUGAGUGUCGUGAACAUCCUCAACCUGCUUGGUUUUUAUCAAAACCAACUAGGCUUGGAAUUUGGAGGUUUUCUGCUGGCAUCCUCCGAAGCCAGCUCCUCUUAAAUGUAUCAGUGGGAUCCGCUUUGCUAGAUCCUUGACGUUGAUAAGAUGUUUCUACGUCUUGGGUUUCGCUCGGGAAGGACCUGCUUCUAACCGUCCCAUCAGGGACAAUGUUCGAGCCGAUCGCCCUUCACGGGGUGGGAAGCUUUCGACCCAUCGAACCUUGA
rnacentral:rRNA from 1 species